rnacentral:rRNA from 1 species
CUUCGAGCCCCUUGAAGGGUCGUUCAAGACCAGGACGUUGAUAGGUCGGGUGUGUACACGCAGUAAUGCGCUGAGCUAACCGAUACUAAUUGCCCGUAAGGCUUGAUCCUAUAACCGGAGCGUUUUG